GAACUAAUCUCUUUUGGGUUCGUGGCCGCUACUUCCAACCAGUAUCGUUAUCAGAAUUGAAUAUUCAACCUUGGGGAUGCUUACAUGAGUAAAACUUCUUCCCAAUACUUUGCAUUCUUUGGCCAAUUAGUUCAACAACCAACAAACACCAUCCGAUAUAUAAAGAACAUAUCCACAUAGACAACCGCAAACCUAAAUAAAAAUCAC
rnacentral:lncRNA from 1 species